rnacentral:tRNA from 1 species
ACCGAAAUAGCUCAGUUGGGAGAGCGUUAGACUAUAGAUCGAAAAGUCCCUGGUUCGAUUCCGGAUUUCAGAA